GUAAGACAGUUGGUCUUGCUAUUCUGCACUGGGGCAAAUUUAUUUGAAAAAUCAAGGGAGAGCAUUUGCUGCUCUGUAUCUGAAGAAGUGUGAGGUCAUGCAUUGAAUUCUUUGCCUCUUGCUGACCUGGGAAGAAGGAAAAGAAGUGGCCUCAGUAACCUGAAGCCUUACAAUACAAGGGGAGAAGUGCUGUCACCUUCCUGAGAUGGCUGCAACCAUUGCAGUGGCAGCUGGGACUUGCCCUCCUUUCUCAGUGUCCCCUGACCCAGCAGCAGUGCCUGUACUGAGGGAAGCAAUGGUGUAAAGCAGAUGCCAGGUUGUGUUUGCUCCUCCAGCUGCAGCGAGCAGUGCUUUCCUACAGAGUCACAGAAUCAUUCAGGUUGGAAAAGACUCACGAGACCAUCAAAUAAUGUAUAUGAAAAGAGGAUGCCAAAAAUGUCUCAUUCAGAGGCUUGUGGAGAAGCCUACAGCUGGUCACGAGAUGCUUGGAAAUCACCAGCAACAGAAGGGAGCCAAGAUGGAGCAUCUGAUUCAUCCACAGGCUUCUCAUCAUUGAAAAUGCUCUGAGGGGCUAGAAGAAAGGUGCCCACUGGAGAUGGAAGGACAAUGGAACCCAGUCCCAGGAAAAAACAGCAGCAAACAAUCAUCUCAGCCUGAUGAAGUUCCCAGCUUGGUGUCUGGAACCACUGAAAACCCCGAUGCACGAUAAACCCCCAAAUCUCAGUGCACAAUGUCUAAUGAAUCACCUGUAAUUGCCUCAUCCCCUAAACACCAGCCCCAUUCAGGGCUCUUCUCAGGUUCCUGUGGUUGAGAUGACUCCCGAGGAAUUAGAAAGUCUUUUCUCCCAGCCCCGUGACCGAAGAAGUUGAGUUCUGCUUUUCAAGCUUGUUUAUUUUUCCUUAUCUAUUACAUUCUUUCUCUGACCUGCUGAGAUCUGUCCAGCAGGUCUGUUUACUGCCCUUGGGGUGGUGUUAGCUUUUUAUUCUACGAACCAUGUGUACUUUAUUUACAAUGAUUUUCCAACACCUAUCACCUAUGUUAGACAGUCUGUCUCUAAACCAAUCCAGAAGUGCCACCAUCCCAGCAGAAGAUGGAGGACAAGAAGGACAGGACACACGCAGAUUCCUCCAUCUUGCCUCUUGAACCCCCAUUCCAAAACCCUAAAAUUCUACUUUUUCACCCUGUGACAAAUUAGCUAUCAUUCUACUCAAACCCUUGUGGCUUGUAAAUCUUCACACACAGUUGGGAAUUUUUUCCAUGGGUUAAAAUCAAAGGCACAGGUGGUUUUGACUCUGUGCCAAGGUCUCUGAGCCCCUUGCCAGGGUCUCGAAUCACCCAGGGCAGCCAGAGGAACGUCCUGGAUCCCCAAAGGCUCUGUCCCAGUGUGGCACAGCAGUGACAUGACAGCAGGAAGCCUGGACACUGAGCUGGUAGCUGGAAUGAGCAUGGGAUAAAAUCCCAGCGACACCGUCAGGAACCGGAGGCAGCCCCAUCAUCCUGGUACUGUAAAUAUAAAUGCAGCCCUUAUGGGAGGGCUGGCUCCUGCUGUAAUAAAUUGGAUUAAGGGCUAUUUUUACAUUCCUGCCUCUGGAGAGGGUUUUGGGAGCCUGGAGACCGUUGCAAGUCAUGGCUGGGUGCUGGCAGCCCUGUGUCCACUCCUAGAGGGGUCACCAAGCAUCUGAGCAAGCCAGCCCUGGCUUACCUGAGGGCAGCAUGGAUGAGCUUCCCACCAGCAGCAGAAACAAGGGCAAUCAUCUCCCCUGAAAUCAUCUCCAUUGAACUUGCUGCCUUCUUCCACCUCCUGACAUGCACCAAGACUGGAUGCUUUCACAGAGGCCUUCU